CCUUGGAUCCAGCCUGUCCAGAUCACCUUCCUGCCCUCCAGCAGAUCAACAUUCCUGCCUAGCCUGGUUUGAAUUUCAAACUGAGGGUUCACUUAAUGCCCUUGUCCAGAUCAUUGACAAUGACAUAGAACAGCACUGGCACCAAUACUGAGCACUGGUAAACACCAGAUUGAGCUGAAAGUUCAGGAAGAAUGUAGAGGGGUAACCAAUCUCAAGUACUUACUUGCUUCUUACUGCUUUUCAGACUAUGUGACAGGCAGAUGGAAAAAAUCAGAAGUAUCAUCAUGGUCAUCUGAGAUUUCUUUUAACUACUUUUGCUGAAGCUUGGUUGAAGAAGUUAAUUAUUGCUUUCUGUGUC